rnacentral:rRNA from 1 species
GGAAACCUACCUCUUAGCAGGGGAUAACAUUUGGAAACAGAUGCUAAUACCGUAUAACAAUAGCAACCGCAUGGUUGCUACUUAAAAGAUGGUUCUGCUAUCACUAAGAGAUGGUCCCGCGGUGCAUUAGUUAGUUGGUGAGGUAAUGGCUCACCAAGACGAUGAUGCAUAGCCGAGUUGAGAGACUGAUCGGCCACAAUGGGACUGAGACACGGCCCAUACUCCUACGGGAGGCAGCAGUAGGGAAUCUUCCACAAUGGGCGAAAGCCUGAUGGAGCAACGCCGCGUGUGUGAUGAAGGGUUUCGGCUCGUAAAACACUGUUGUAAGAGAAGAAUGACAUUGAGAGUAACUGUUCAAUGUGUGACGGUAUCUUACCAGAAAGGAACGGCUAAAUACGUGCCAGCAGCCGCGGUAAUACGUAUGUUCCAAGCGUUAUCCGGAUUUAUUGGGCGUAAAGCGAGCGCAGACGGUUAUUUAAGUCUGAAGUGAAAGCCCUCAGCUCAACUGAGGAAUUGCUUUGGAAACUGGAUGACUUGAGUGCAGUAGAGGAAAGUGGAACUCCAUGUGUAGCGGUGAAAUGCGUAGAUAUAUGGAAGAACACCAGUGGCGAAGGCGGCUUUCUGGACUGUAACUGACGUUGAGGCUCGAAAGUGUGGGUAGCAAACAGGAUUAGAUACCCUGGUAGUCCACACCGUAAACGAUGAGUGCUAGGUGUUUGAGGGUU